rnacentral:rRNA from 1 species
AGCGAACGCUGGCGGCAGGCCUAACACAUGCAAGUCGAACGAACCCUUCGGGGUUAGUGGCGGACGGGUGAGUAACACGUGGGAACGUGCCUUUAGGUUCGGAAUAACUCAGGGAAACUUGUGCUAACACCGAAUGUGCCCUUCGGGGGAAAGAUUUAUCGCCUUUAGAGCGGCCCGCGUCUGAUUAGCUAGUUGGUGGAGUAAUGGCUCACCAAGGCUACGAUAAGUAGCUGGUCUGAGAGGAUGACCAGCCACAUUGGGUCUGAGACACGGCACAAACUCCUAUGGGAUGCGGCAGUGGGGAAUCUUGCGCAAUGGGCGAAAUCCUGACGCAGUCAUGCCGCGUGGAUGAUGAAGGACUUAGGAUUGUAAAAUCCUUUAACCGGUGAAGAUAAUGACUGUAGCCGGAGAAGAAGCCCCGGCUAACUUCGUGCCAGCCGCCGCCGUAAGAC